rnacentral:rRNA from 4 species
CUGAGUACGGCGGAACACGUGAAAUUCCGUCGGAAUCCGGGAGGACCAUCUCCCAAGGCUAAAUACUCCCUAGUGACCGAUAGUGAACCAGUACCGUGAGGGAAAGGUGAAAAGCACCCCGGAAGGGGAGUGAAACAGUUCCUGAAACCGUGUGCCUACAAGUAGUUAGAGCCCGUUAAUGGGUGAUAGCGUGCCUUUUGUAGAAUGAACCGGCGAGUUACGAUUUGUUGCAAGGUUAAGCGGAAAAAGCGGAGCCGUAGCGAAAGCGAGUCUGAAUAGGGCGCAUAAGUAACAGGUCGUAGACCCGAAACCAGGUGAUCUACCCAUGUCCAGGAUGAAGGUAAGGUAAUACUUACUGGAGGUCCGAACCCACGCACGUUGAAAAGUGCGGGGAUGAGGUGUGGGUAGCGGAGAAAUUCCAAUCGAACUUGGAGAUAGCUGGUUCUCUCCGAAAUAGCUUUAGGGCUAGCCUCGAGGUAAAGAGUCAUGGAGGUAGAGCACUGUUUGGACUAGGGGCCCUUCUCGGGUUACCGAAUUCAGAUAAACUCCGAAUGCCAUGUACUUAUACUCGGGAGUCAGACUGCGAGUGAUAAGAUCCGUAGUCGAAAGGGAAACAGCCCAGACCACCAGUUAAGGUCCCCAAAUAUAUGUUAAGUGGAAAAGGAUGUGGGGUUGCUUAGACAACCAGGAUGUUGGCUUAGAAGCAGCCACCAUUGAAAGAGUGCGUAAUAGCUCACUGGUCGAGUGACCCCGCGCCGAAAAUGUACCGGGGCUAAACAUAUUACCGAAACUGUGGAUGAACCUCUUUAGAGGUUCGUGGUAGGAGAGCGUUCUAAGGGCGGUGAAGUCAGACCGGAAGGACUGGUGGAGCGCUUAGAAGUGAGAAUGCCGGUAUGAGUAGCGAAAGAAGGGUGAGAAUCCCUUCCACCGAAUAUCUAAGGUUU